CAGUCGCCGCGGUAAUACGAAGGGUGCAAGCGUUAAUCGGAAUUACUGGGCGUAAAGCGUGCGUAGGCGGUUUGUUAAGUCUGUUGUGAAAUCCCCGGGCUCAACCUGGGAAUGGCAAUGGAUACUGGCAAGCUAGAGUGUGUCAGAGGAUGGUGGAAUUCCCGGUGUAGCGGUGAAAUGCGUAGAGAUCGGGAGGAACAUCUGUGGCGAAGGCGACUAUCUGGGCCAACACUGACACUGAGACACGAAAGCGUGGGGAGCAAACAGGAUUAGAUACCCCCGUAGUCCCUGUCUCUUAUAC
rnacentral:rRNA from 1 species